GACGAACGCUGGCGGCGUGCUUAACACAUGCAAGUCGAACGGAAAGGCCCCUUUGGGGGUACUCGAGUGGCGAACGGGUGAGUAACACGUGAGUAACCUGCCCUUGACUUCGGGAUAACUUCAGGAAACUGGGGCUAAUACCGGAUAGGAAUCCUUGCUUCAUGGUGGGGGUUGGAAAGCUUCGGCGGUUUUGGAUGGACUCGCGGCUUAUCAGCUUGUUGGUGGGGUAGUGGCUUACCAAGGCUUUGACGGGUAGCCGGCCUGAGAGGGCGACCGGCCACAUUGGGACUGAGAUACGGCCCAGACUCCUACGGGAGGCAGCAGUGGGGAAUAUUGCACAAUGGGCGGAAGCCUGAUGCAGCAACGCCGCGUGCGGGAUGACGGCCUUCGGGUUGUAAACCGCUUUCAGCAGGGGCGAAGCUUGUGGUGACGGUACCUGCAGAAGAAGCACCGGCUAACUACGUG
rnacentral:rRNA from 1 species